ncrna:unclassified sequences FuFi-1 RNA
UUCGCCAACUAAUGGGCAGCUAAUCUUUUUUUACUCAAUCGCAGAACUAAAACUGCGUAAGUGGCGAAGUGUUUCAAGAAACAUUUGGUGCUGCUUAUGUGACUGAACAAGUGCGUUCAGUCUGCAAAACACAUAAGGUAAACAAAUUUAGGCAAGAACUGAUAGGACAGCACUCCUGUCAGUUUUUU